rnacentral:tRNA from 1 species
GCUCAGGUGGUGGAAUUGGUAGACACGCCACUCUCAGGAGGUGGUGUCGAUUUCGACAUGCAAGUUCGAUUCUUGUCCUGAGCA